AAGUCGUAACAAGGUAACCGUAGGUGAACCUGCGGUUGGAUCAUUACCAAAUCCAAACCGGUGCCUUGGGUGAGGUGGCCGUGGUGGUGGGUGAGGUGUGCUUGUGUGCCCUUUCCGGGUGCGUGGCCCCCUCUCUCGCCUCCCACUGGGCCCUCUUCCCUGGUGCCUUCCACCCCAUGUGCAAUGUUCUUUUGGAAAAGGACUGUGCGGCGUGCUGCCAUGUCGCAAGACGUGUGUGGUGCGCACACGGCCCUCUCCAUUCACAACCAUGUGCUCUCCAAUCACCUGACGUUUACACUCGUGGACAGGCGCGCUUGCGUGCAGGCCCAUUAGAGCUUAACGAAAAACAACUUUUGACAACGGAUCUCUUGGCUCUC
rnacentral:misc_RNA from 1 species